GAGUUCCCAGGCUCUGAGGUUUCCUGCCUGGUAGCGUAGUGAAAGGUGAAAGUUUGCACCUCCUUUAAGUAGAGAAGAAAACUGAAAUUUGGCUUACUACAUCUUAUCCACAUGCCCUGAUCACUGGGGCAUUGGGUGAAAGAGGAUUGUCACUUUACCCCAUGUCAACUAGAAGAGUGAUAGCUGACCUGUUGUCAUUAGAAAAGUGUUCAAGUGGACAACUCACCAAGAUGUCAGGUGUGUGAACUCUAAAAGAGGAAGAUGGACCUCCUUCUGAAAAAGCUGCUGUCAAGAUAAAUGGAAAUCAGUUUCCACAAGCCAUCAACAGAUGUCCAGUGAAAAGAUCUUUCUUUUGGCUCUGUGUGGAAAAACCUGCCCAUGCACGACUGCCUCAAGGAUCUGACAGGAGGAAUUGAGUGUGCUGCCAAGAUAUUAAAUGAAAUUCCCCAGGAAGACAUUAAGUUCACUAAAAGAGCCUCAAAGGCAGAGAGGGAAGGAAAUGGGCAAGCUCUCUGCUGAAGAUUUCCCUGGAGGAAAACCAUCAACAUGGGACUGUACUAGAAGAAAGAUCCCUUGAGGUUGUACUCUGUCGCCAGCACAAACCAGUGAGGGAUACCUGGGGCUAGCCAUGGUAAAAAACUGGAGGAUUCUGACCCAGCCUGGAGAAGGGACAAAGGCUUACAGCCAGAGCAAUGGUCACUGCCAUCCGUCACUUCUUCACUCUUCUGUCUGACAGGAGACAAGGUGAACCUCUUCUCAUCCCUUUGGGGGCACUCUGCCCCUUGUCAUCUCUUCGUCAAGCAGCAGUGACAGCACCGACAUGAAUAGACUUCUGCUUUGGAAAAAUUGGACGUAAUACCACCUAGUGGUCUCGUACUUCCAAG